GAUGGACGCUAGCGGGAGGCCUAACACAUGCAAGCCGAGCGGGAUUUGAGACUAGCUUGCUAGUCUUAAUGAGAGCGGCGUACGGGUGCGGAACACGUGUGCAACCUGCCUUUAUCUGGGAGAUAGCCUUUCGAAAGGAAGAUUAAUAUCCCAUAAUAUAAUGAUUGGCAUCAAUUAUUAUUGAAAGCUCCGGCGGAUAGAGAUGGGCACGCGCAAGAUUAGAUAGUUGGUGAGGUAACGGCUCACCAAGUCGAUGAUCUUUAGGGGGCCUGAGAGGGUGAUCCCCCACACUGGUACUGAGACACGGACCAGACUCCUACGGGAGGCAGCAGUGAGGAAUAUUGGACAAUGGGUGAAAGCCUGAUCCAGCCAUCCCGUGUGAAGGAUUAAGGACCUAUGGUUUGUAAACUUCUUUUCUACAGGGAUAAACCUACUCUCGUGAGAGUAGCUGAAGGUACUGUAGGAAUAAGCACCGGCUAACUCCGUGCCAGCCGCCGCCGUAACAC
rnacentral:rRNA from 1 species